rnacentral:rRNA from 1 species
UACGUAGGGUGCAAGCGUUAAUCGGAAUUACUGGGCGUAAAGCGUGCGCAGGCGGUUUUGUAAGUCUGUCGUGAAAUCCCCGGGCUCAACCUGGGAAUUGCGAUGGAGACUGCAAGGCUAGAAUCUGGCAGAGGGGGGUAGAAUUCCACGUGUGAGCAGUGAAAUGCGUAGAGAUGUGGAGAACACCGAUGGCGAAGGCAGCCCCCUGGGUCAAGAUUGACGCUCAUGCACGAAAGCGUGGGGAGCAAAC